GAGUUAAACUCUUUUGCAAGGAAAAAGAUAUCUUGAGGCAGUACACCAACACUUAUAAACCAUAAUAAAAUAGAGUUAUGGAAAGAAUAAACCAUACAUCAAUAGAACAGACUCAUAGUAUGUUGAGCAAUAUUGGUUUGGAGUGUAAGUUAUGAGCCGAGGUCAUGUCUAUAGUAUAUUAUCUUGUCAACUGCUCACCUUCCAUGGCC
rnacentral:lncRNA from 1 species